rnacentral:rRNA from 1 species
UACGUAGGGCGCAAGCGUUGUCCGGAAUUAUUGGGCGUAAAGAGCUCGUAGGUGGUUUGUCGCGUCUGUUGUGAAAGCCCGGGGCUUAACUCCGGGUUUGCAGUGGAUACGGGCAGGCUAGAGGCAGGUAGGGGAGAACGGAAUUCCCGGUGUAGCGGUGAAAUGCGCAGAUAUCGGGAGGAACACCAAUGGCGAAGGCAGCUCGCUGGGACGUGACUGACGCUGAGACGCGAAAGCGUGGGGAGCAAACAGG